GUGUCAUCUUUUGGCAUUGUCAGGCCCUUCGUGGUAGGUAAUUGUCAUCACUUAGACCUUGUCAGGCCCUUCGUGGUAGGCAAGUGUCAUCUUUUGGCAUUGUUAGGCCCUUCUGGUAGGCAAUUAUCGUCACUUAGACCUUGUCAGGCCCUUCGUGGUAGGCAAGUGUCAUCUUCUGGCAUUGUCAGGCCCUUCGUGGUAGGCAAGUGUCAUCCUUAUAUCUUGGUCCUUUUAUAAUUGUUUCACCCCGAGCGGUAAACAAGAUUUUGAUGGUGCAAGGACGAUCAGCCGAAUUCACUUCACACAUGACCGAUCUCACACUUCGGAAACGAUAAGUAUACAUUACUUUAUUUUGUUCAAGUGUUGAGUUCAAUUCAUUCAAUACUGUUCAUUAAAUUCUAUCUAUUAAAUUCAGUUCACUUCAUUUCAUAAAUUAACUGUUAUACACCUUAUCUAAUUCAUGUUCUAAGUUAAGUUCAUACAGAUUAAUUGAUACUGAAUUAUUGACAAGAAAUGUUCAUACAGAAGUAAUAAGGCAUGAAGUUGAUAUUUCAUUAAAUAUUAACUGUUUACAUAAAGUUAGAAUUUUCACAGAAAGUUCUACAGCUAGAGAUAAGGAGAGGUCAUCUUCAGGCUUCUUCCUUGUCAUCGUCACCAUCUAAAGAGUCUAGAAGAGAUGGAUCUACCUUGGCCCGAGCUUUUUCUUGCCUUUACUUCGGCAGAUUUCAUAUCCUUUCGCAUACAUAUGGACGAUCUUAUUGUUCAGCUCGGCGGAUUUUCUGUAUUCUGCCUGGAUAUCCCUACGAAAGUCUUCGGUCAGUGGCGGACUCAAAUUCUUAAGGGCCCGAAGCUCUUUGAGCUCUUCUUCGAGCUUCUGACGAUGUACCAGAUGCUUUGAUCCUUUAGCUUGACAGAUCAAUAUUUAUAUCAGUGAUGACUUGGUGAGUGGCCCGGGACGUUUUCAAAUCUUCUUUGGUUUGGGCAAGGUCUUUCUGAAGGCACUCAUUAUCGUGAAA
rnacentral:lncRNA from 1 species